rnacentral:lncRNA from 1 species
AUAAAAUUACUUGGGUACUUUCUGGUGGUUUUUAGAAAUAACUUUAACUAUACUAAAACAUGUAAUAUGAAUAUAACAUGCUACUAAAAUAAUUUAACUGAACUGAACUGAAUUUAACUUUAAAAGCAAUUGAUAAUAAAUCCAUUUUAUUCUGAAAAUCAUGCUAUGAAGUCAACUUUAUAAAAUAAAUAACUUUAAAAUUUAAAGAAGACUUAUUUCUGAAAAAUAAGUUUUAUCCACUCACUCAAUACGAGCUACAGACUAGGCCGGUCGGUAAGCUUUUCCAAUUCUUCGUCACCACCUGUAAUACGUUACAAAUAACUAAUUUAAUCACUAUUAAAAUAAAGAAACAUUUAAUCUCUAAUGAUAUAAUAAUUAAACUAAAUUCCCCGAGACUUGCGAAAUUUUCCUGAAUUUCCUUUAAUCAAUCGAAGCUAAUUUCCACUUUCUAAUACCUUCACAAUCAUAUACCACAUCCAAAUUUAACUUCAUUAGAAUCAUAACAAUAUUCGUCCCUUUCAUUUUAGUGAAAAACGAGAAAUCAUAAUACAACCAAAUUAAUAUAUCUAUCAUUCCCCAAAAUCAUUCUUCCAAGGGAAUAAUUCCAUUAAUGUAAUCAUUUCCACAAAUAAUCCAUGCUCAAUCAUCAAAUUUAAAAACUAGGGUUUGCCCAAAAAAAUUAAUAUCUCCUUACCUUAGUUUAGAUAGAAAUUCACGAAUUAAUAACUUGAGCUUCAAGUAGUAUUCCUCUCAAAAAUCUGAAAAUUUUCGAGCCAAAAUAAAACCCUAGAAUUUAACAUAAAAUAUAUCAACCUCUUGAAGAAAAUAAAAAGAGAGGAAAAAUGGAAAUGAACCUAGAACUACCUCUUUCCUUUCUUUCUCUUCUUCCUUUUUUCCUUUUUCUUCUCUUUUUUCUCCCCUCUUUUCU